rnacentral:rRNA from 1 species
GAUGAACGCUAGCUACAGGCUUAACACAUGCAAGUCGAGGGACCGGCGCACGGGUGAGUAACACGUAUCCCACCUGCCCUUUACUCGGGGAUAGCCUUUCGCAAGAAAGAUUAAUACCCGAUAUAAAGGAUGGAGAUGCGUUCCAUUAGGUUGUGGGUAAGGUAACGGCUCACCAAGCCUUCGAUGGAUAGGGGUUGUGAGAGGAAGGCCCCCCAGAUUGGAACUGCGGCCCGGUCCAAACUCGUACGGGAGGGAGGAGUGUGGAACAUUGGGCAAUCGGCGCUAGCCUGAACCAGCCAAGUAGCGUGAAGGAUGAAGGCUUAUGGAUCGUAAACUUGUUUUAUAUAAGAAUAGGUAUUAUAUGAAUAAGGAUCGGCUAACUCCGUGCCAGCAGCCGCGGUAAUUC